ACGAGGAUGCUGCAAUUGGUUGACAGGCUGUGCUUAGGACACAGUGCCUUAGUGCAUUGCAGGUUCGAGUCCUGUUCCUCGUA
rnacentral:tRNA from 1 species